ensembl:lncRNA
CUAUUACAGAGGGCUGAGGGACAUUUGGGUGGGGGUUGAGUAAGUAUGGAGUGAGUUUAUAGAGGGAAUACCCUGGGAUAGUUUGGAGAGGAUGGAGCACCAGUGGAGAAGAAAGAAGAGGCAAGGAGAAGAUAAAGACUGAAAUAAAAUGACUUUCAAACUCUCUUCACUGUACAGUAACUACAACUAUAGCUGUAGACUAGCAGUGUGGUAGCACCUUGAAUGUUUUAUGGUGGAAGAUGAUAUUAGUGCUUUCUAAACUCACACUGCUAUAGAGCAUAACACCAGAAUGUUAUCUGAAAUUGGAGUGUGACAUUGUUGCAUUGCCCCUGGUCGUUUUAUUACAGUAGCUUGGUGGCAGUAGAGGUUUUUGGCUGGCCUGGGGUCAUACUGGCUCAUUGCUGUGAUGCUUAGAGGUGAUGCACUGUGGUGUGAUUGCGCCAGUUUUAUGGUAGGUGAUGUUAAUAUGAAUGUGGCUGUGACACAGUAUGGAUCUCACGGUACAGCACAGCUCCUUUGUAAUUUCUGUAGUAGUUGGUGUUGCUGCAGUGUGUCAUAGUGAUGGUGGUUUGGAAGAAGUGUAUUGACAGCACCUGAUUUUGGAGUUACUUAUUUUAUCCUCAGUUCAAACAUCAGGAGAUCUAUACUAGAAGGUGUGGGUGCAGUGCAGCCAGUAUGGUGCUGAUAGGCUAUUGCUUCAGAGGAGCAAAGCCCUGCUGUCAACACUAAAACGUGCUGCAGUUUGUAAGCAAAGCUGUUGUGCAGUGCACGACUGCAGCACCUGCAAACGGACAAACUGUGGAUACACAAUAAAACAACGCCAUGCUCUGGGUACCCGUGCUUCAGAUUUGUGCAAAAGAUUAUACUAAAGUAAGUCCCUCUUCAAUUCGACUUUUUCCCUUGGAAAAGCACAAGAGGGUGAAGGCGUUAGGCGAUGGAGGGAUGCAGCAAAGCAGCUGCAGCGCGGAGCAGCGGCCCCCGGAGGGCGCCCGCACCGCACCCCGCACACCCCGGCCCUGCAGCACAGCCGGGGCCGUACGGCUCCACCUCGUGGCUCUGCUGCCUUUCGGCUCCGUGCCUGCGGCUCCUCUCUUAGGGACGCGCAUGCACUGCUGCCCCGCUGUACCUCCUUACUUAAAGCGAGAACGUGACUGUAGAUGGCUCAGGAGCAGUAACUUCACAGCAGCGCCAUCGCGGAGAGGUGAUGGAGAAGGGACGUGUUUUGGUGGCUGGAUUCCCCUCCCCUCCCUCCAAGAAUGACUCAGUGCAGAUGGGAGGUUCGAAGUGGAUUAAACCCACAGCUGAGCAACCUCGUUUUUUCCAAGAGAGGAUCCAACAACAGCCUGUAAUCUGAGUUAAUCAACGAGCUUAUUCCCACCUCAUCAGCAAACAAGCUGUGACCUGUACUGCUCAGAACACACCUCCUUGUUUUCACUGCUGAACAGAAGUCACUCAAGUAGCUGCAAGACAGGUCUGGAGGGGAACAACCCACAUCAGAUUGAUGUAUAUAUGAUCACAGAAGAUUGUUUACAUGCCACCAAUCCCACUCCAGUUGUUCUUGGUUUUCACUGAAGCCCCAGUUUGUGUUGGGGACUUCUGCCCUCUCAAGCUCACCUUUUGGCAAAGCUCACUCAACACCCACACUCUUACGUGUUGUACUAGAGAAGUUGGCUUUGGGGUCAUUCCUUCCCUCUGGCAGCUGGACACAACAUUUCCCCAGUGAACAGUGACUAUGGGGCAAUCCCUCUCCCACUACAGUGAGGCUCAAAACCCACAUUUGGUUGCUACUACCACCCCUC